ACGCUCGACACCUACGAGAGGCAGCAGUGAGGAAUAUUGGUCAAUGGGCGCUAGCCUGAACCAGCCAAGUAGCGUGAAGGAUGAAGGCUCUAUGGGUCGUAAACUUCUUUUAUAUAAGAAUAAAGUGCAGUAUGUAUACUGUUUUGUAUGUAUUAUAUGAAUAAGGAUCGGCUAACUCCGUUCACGCAGCCGCGGUAAUCUGAGCGGGCUGGCAAGGC
rnacentral:rRNA from 1 species